AGAGUUUGAUCCUGGCUCAGGAUGAACGCUAGCUACAGGCUUAACACAUGCAAGUCGAGGGGCAGCAUGAGCUUAGCUUGCUAAGCUUGAUGGCGACCGGCGCACGGGUGAGUAACGCGUAUCCAACCUUCCCCUUAGUAGGGCAUAGCCCGGUGAAAAUCGGAUUAAUACCCUAUGUUCUUCACAGCGGGCAUCUAACGUGAAGCAAAGGUUCACCGCUAAGGGAUGGGGAUGCGUCUGAUUAGGUAGUCGGCGGGGUAACGGCCCACCGAGCCAUCGAUCAGUAGGGUUCUGAGAGGAAGGUCCCCCACAUUGGAACUGAGACACGGUCCAAACUCCUACGGGAGGCAGCAGUGAGGAAUAUUGGUCAAUGGUCGAGAGACUGAACCAGCCAAGUAGCGUGCAGGAUGACGGCCCUAUGGGUUGUAAACUGCUUUUAUGCGGGGAUAAAGUCACCCACGUGUGGGUGUUUGCAGGUACCGCAUGAAUAAGGACCGGCUAAUUCCGUGCCAGCCGCCGC
rnacentral:rRNA from 1 species